AAGGGUAUAUAAACUUCGGCUUGCCGAAGUUUGCUUCCUUUCUUGUUUUUUUUCAUUCUUUUUCUGAAUCGACAAUAUGAUGAGAAUAUUCUGUACAAAUUUUAAAUCAAUCCGAGCAAAACUAACGGAGAUACAGCGUCUCAAACGGUAGGCAGUAGAGCUGGAAAAAACAUAGGCGAUGUAUCGAUACAUCGAUGUUUUUCGAAAAUCGGGAAACAUCGAGGUUUCAAAACAUCGAUGUUCGAUGUUUCCUCUUUACCCAUCACUACUUGGCAGGAAAAAAUCUUGAUUACAGUCUGAUUCCGAAAGUUUGAUAUUGGUUUUGGCGGCGCUCAGAAAUGGAGAAGGCUUUGAAAGAGCAGAAUAACAAUGUUGCCUGUCAAGAGGAAGAAAGCGACAGUACGGUCCCAAGUAAACAUGCGUUUUUAAAUACUUCUGCGUUCCGGCCACCUCUACUGAAAGCGAGAGGAUGUUCAGUAAGGCCGGGCUUAUUAUCAGCGAAAAGCGAAGCUCGCUUAAGGCUAAAAACGUCAAUAUGUUAUUAUUUUUAAACAAAAAUGACUGGAUUUCUUAAGUUAAGUUAUUUUCUUAUUCUUUUGAGUAGAACUCGAUAUUAUUUUUUAUUGUAAUUUUCAUUGAAUUGUGAUUUAGUUUUUAUUUUGAUUUUUGAAGGAAAGAGAAGAAAUAUAAGCUGAGUAUAUGGAUCUCAAAUAAAGCCUCAUUAUUUAUCAAGACCUUUUACAAAUUUGAUUUAUUUAUGGUAUUGAUUAAUAAUAUGUGAUGGAGAAAAAUACAUUUUUUCAAAAACACCUUAAAAUAAUUCGAUGCAUCGAUACAUCGAUGUAGGGAAACAUCGAUUAUUUUCCAUCUCUAGUAGGCAGUGUUACCAGAUUGUUCACGUAUAAAAAACCUUAAAUCGAUUUUCCCGAAAACGUCUUUUUUGAAGUUUGUGAACAUCGGAACUCAAAAUCUACUCAAACGAUCCUUUUGAAUAUUUGAACAUUACUUCUUCACACAAAUCAGUACGUUAUCACGAACAGUUUUUUAAAUUUUUUUUUAUAAAAAAACGCGGUUAUUUUUUAUACCGUUGUAGAGGGUAUUAUAAUUUCAGUCAGAAGUUUGCAAAGCAGUGAAGGACACAUUCUCAACCCUAUAUAGUAUAUAUAUUCUUGAUCA